ensembl:lncRNA
AUGGGCUGUGUAGUAUCUUCACAAAGAGUAGUCUACCACAUAAAUGAGUUGAAGUCAAUCUUUACUUCUAUCUUCAGAAACUGCACAGGAAUCGGCAUCGCAGGCCGUCACUUUCAAGGACUUCGUUACACCAACUUCAAGGGCCAACAACUCCUUCUCUGCAGGAGCAACGACAACAUCAGCAGUCGGUACUACUGGAGUGCAUUUGUCCUGCUUAUUUCCUGUGGGUGGUACAGUUGCGAGCAUCUCAUCUGUACUGCGUGCUCUUACUUGGUCCACAUGCCUUUUCACAGUUUGUCCCUGUCCCAGAGUGGUCUUGUACGAAAGAGGUCCUGUGCAACUUUCCACUACUGCAGGUAUCCAUUUUGGUCCCCCACUAUAGUUCCUCACAU